rnacentral:siRNA from 1 species
UGAAACACGCUAUGAUGAGUCUAU